rnacentral:lncRNA from 1 species
UAUUUUUUUAUCGGUUAAAUCAAAAAUCAAAUCGUUAGGAAUUAAAAACCGAUAACUAAUAUAACUACAUUUAUUAUAAGUAUGUGUCUUAGUUUCUUUAGUAUUUUUUUUGUUAAUAUUGUUUAAAAUAUUUGCUUAAAUAUUUAGUAUAUUUUUUUAGUUACAAUAACUCAUAUGAUACAUAUAAUUAAGAUUACAAAAUUGAAGGAGUUUCAUAGGAAUGAAAACUGGAGUUUUAGAUUGAAUUAAUAAAUGGAUGAAUUUUUUUUUUUUAGAUUAAUAAGCAAAAAUUUUACAAAAUUAAUAAACGGAUGAAAUUUUUAUUUCAUAACUAAUUAAUAAACUGUAGUUUUACAAAAUUAAUAAACGGAUGAAUUUUUUUUUAGAUUGGAAGUAAUGG